UACGGGGGGAGCAAGCGUUGUUCGGAUUUACUGGGCGUAAAGGGCGCGUAGGCGGCCACCGCAAGUCGACUGUGAAAUCUCCGGGCUUAACCCGGAAAGGUCAGCCGAUACUGCGGGGCUAGAGUGCAGAAGGGGCAACUGGAAUUCUCGGUGUAGCGGUGAAAUGCGUAGAUAUCGGGAGGAACAUCCGUGGCGAAGGCGACUACCUGGACCAGCACUGACACUGAGGCACGAAAGCGUGGGGAGCAAACAGG
rnacentral:rRNA from 1 species